UACGGAGGAUCCAAGCGUUAUCCGGAUUUAUUGGGUUUAAAGGGUGCGUAGGUGGCCUAUUAAGUCAGGGGUGAAAGACGGUAGCUUAACUAUCGCAGUGCCUUUGAUACUGAUGGGCUUGAAUACACUUGAGGUAGGCGGAAUGUGACAAGUAGCGGUGAAAUGCAUAGAUAUGUCACAGAACACCAAUUGCGAAGGCAGCUUACUAAAGUGUUAUUGACACUGAGGCACGAAAGCGUGGGGAUCAAACAGG
rnacentral:rRNA from 2 species